rnacentral:rRNA from 1 species
UACGUAGGGGGGCAAGCGUUGUCCGGGAAUCAUUGGGCGUAAAGAGCGUGUAGGCGGCCAGGUAGGUCGGUUGUGAAAACUGGAGGCUCAACCUUCAGAGGUCGACCGAAACCAUCUGGCUAGAGUCCGGGAGAGGAGAGUGGAAUUCCUGGUGUAGCGGUGAAAUGCGCAGAUAUCAGGAAGAACACCCGUGGCGAAAGCGGCUCUCUGGAACGGUACUGACGCUGAGACGCGAAAGCGUGGGGAGCGAACAGG